rnacentral:misc_RNA from 1 species
GCAAACUUGGUCAUUUAGAGGAAGUAAAAGUCGUAACAAGGUUUCCGUAGGUGAACCUGCGGAAGGAUCAUUAAAGUAAAAAAGAAUCAUGCAUUCUUAAGAUCCCUCCUGUGAAUUUUGUAGCUGUUGCUUCCGCAGAUCACGAGCCUCGGCGGUUCCCUGCGGAGGGUUUGCAUCAACUCUCAAUUGUUGGAAUUUGUCUGAAUGCUGUAGAUGGAUUGAAAUCCAAAUACUCUUUAAAAACUUUCAACAAUGGAUCUCUUGGUUCUCGCAUCGAUGAAGAACGCAGC